rnacentral:rRNA from 1 species
GACGAACGCUGGCGGCGUGCUUAACACAUGCAAGUCGAACGGAAAGGCCCUGCUUUUGUGGGGUGCUCGAGUGGCGAACGGGUGAGUAACACGUGAGUAACCUGCCCUUGACUUUGGGAUAACUUCAGGAAACUGGGGCUAAUACCGGAUAGGAGCUCCUGCUGCAUGGUGGGGGUUGGAAAGUUUCGGCGGUUGGGGAUGGACUCGCGGCUUAUCCGCUUGUUGGUGGGGUAGUGGCUGACCAAGGCUUUGACGGGUAGCCGGCCUGGGAGGGUGACCGGGGACAUGGGGACUGAGAUACGGACCAGACUCGUACGGGAGGCAGCAGUGGGAAGUAUGGCACAAUGGGCGGACGCCUGAUGCAGCAACGCCGCGUGCGUGAAGCCGGCCUUCGGGGUGUAAACCGCUUUGGCCUGUGACGAAGCGUGAUUGACGGUAACGGGUAAAGAAGCACCGGCUAACUACGUG